GGACUCUGAGCUGUCAGCACCUAGCCUGACGAGGGGCUUGAUCUUACAACCAUAAGAUCAUGACCUGAGCUCAAGUUAAGAGCCAGAGGCUCAACGGGCUGAGCCACGCCGGGCGCCCCCACACUGGACUUCUCUACCUUAGGGUGUCUCAUGACCUCCAUAUUGACUCAUUUUUUCCCCUCCUUCUUCUCCAACAUCCCGCCUUUCUCGUCUAAGUAGCCAGAGAUCUGAGUUGCCAGGGCUGGUUUGGGCGCCCGGCCCAGGUAAGGACAGCCACCUCGCCUGCUCAGAGCCGCUGUGUCCAAGCCUUCCUGAGGCCGGCUCGCAGAGUGUUAGCUGCAGUACGGCCUAUGAAUAUUCUACAGGAGGACAGUGAUGUUGCAGCCAACUGGAAGAAAAGAGCUGUUCUUCUGGGCGUCCCUCUGACUGCUGACUCUCGUCUCUCAAGAGGACAUCAAGAUGAAUGCUGCUGCUGCAGCUUAGAAACCCAGGGUGUGCGGACAGGCCAUAAGAGGAGCAAAGCAUCCCUGAGGCCAGCCCUAAGAAACCUUCAGACCCUGGAGUGAUGACGUUACAGAGCAUCCAGCCUGAGCAGAGUCAACAGCUGACCGCAGCCAGGUGAACAAGUAAUGGGUUUGGAGCAAACCCUGACACAACACUAAACACCUGGUCGCGGUGCUGUCACUACAAGAGCCUAACAGGUGGCGCGGCCUGACCACCGGCCGGAAGAGCAGCGGAGAGGCCAUGAACAUCUGGGAAGUAGAGUAACUGCUACAGGAAGCUGGAAAGAUGAUGACAUUUUGUAAGCAGCAAAACAAAGGUGUGCUUUCAGCUGAAACAGAAAGGGUCAAAGUGAGAAUUCGUUCACACUGGCUGUGUGUGAAGAGACGGUUCUGAAACGCACGUCUCUGGGGGACGUGACUUGAUGAAAUAAAAUAGGAAGCAUUUGAAAAGAUCAACUACGGCAAUUACACAAUAUAGCACGAGAAGAAAAAAACAAUAGAAAAGCUUCUGAGGGCUAUGGGCUGUAGAAAAAUGGAAAUGUAAUCAUAGUUCAUGACUUUGCUCAGCGAACAGUAUUUAUAGAGUCAUGAUCAUGUAAAUGCUAGUGAACCAGUUGGAAAGUAACAGUAAAUUACUGGAAAAUAGCAGAGAAAGUUCUUACGGAGUAACUACAAUUUCAUAUAAGAAAAUAAAUCGAUAAAUUGUUUAUCAAGAUAAUUGCAGUAUAGUCCUAUUAUCUGGCAUAGAAGCUAAAAAGGCUAAAAAGCAAAAUUUCACCGCUAGGUGGCACAACUAACAAAUGGAACAGAAGUAUGGGAGAGUAUUAAUUUUUUGGAAAGCAUUGCACAUGUUUUAUGCCAUGGUAAUUUCAAAAAUAAAGUUUGGAUAAUUUUUGCUCCUUCUGUUAGCAUAUGCAGAGGUAUCAUUGCAAAAAUCAAUAGAACUAUCCAUAUAAUUCACGUGUGCUUACAUUGUACUUGCAGUAAAAUGACUUAAACAUUACUCUUGUAAUAAAGCUACAUUUCUAUUAGA